AGGCUCGGAGCUCUAGGCCGGCCGGUGGCGGCGGCGAGGCCGGGACUCGGGCUUAGGGCCUGC
ensembl:miRNA